UACGCUAAUACAUGGUUUACUAAUAUCUAACAUGAUUGAUACUGAAAUUUUGAUAACAUGGAUGACUGUGUCUGAUAGUCCUGAAUCUGAUGGAACCAUCUGAGUUCUGUACUGUAACUAAAUUGACUGUAUCUGACAGUCCUGGUACUAAAAUCUGAAGAACUAUCUAAGUUCUUUUACUGAGAUCGAGAAUGAAACUGUGGGAGGUAGUUGUUUAACCUACAUGCCUCAAAUGUGCUAUAAUAGCUGAGCUGGGGUCCAAUAUGUGC
rnacentral:lncRNA from 1 species